CUCUGGCACCGGGGCUUUGAGCGCGGCCGUGGGAACUGGGGGUGUAGGCCCGGGGUCGCCGUCACAGCGUCCCUGUUUGCCGGCAGCGGGUUCACAGCCGCAAGGCUGUAGCUGGCGACAUCGCUGGGCGUCUGUCCACUAGGCCAGGGCCAAGCACCUAUGAUUGGCGUUCACAGUUGAGGGGCGUGAAAAGCUACGUUUCUGGCGCCCUUGGGUCCAGUUCCUUUCGUCAGGAGAGUAGUACAACUUCUCAUCCUGAGUGCGUGCAUGCUAUUUCCAGAAUCCCGUGUCCAGCCUGAAGGAGAGAGCAUCUGGUCCACCCUGCAUGGCCUCUGACUAGUGACCUAGGAUACUGGCCUAUUUGCUAGGCCUUGCCUUGUAGGGUUGAGCAGAGAUUAAUAGCGUUUUGGGUCCAUAAUUUGGAGAAAGCUCCAAUUUUGUGGUUUAAAACAAUUCUCAGAAUGCAAUGGAGUCUUUUCGUGAACUCAGGGUAAUAGUGUUUAGAAAGCUUCGUUCAUUGGGAGAAAUUCAUACGCGAGGGUAGCUCAGCUGUGAAACUAAGGGCUGAUUUAUGGAAUAUAGUAAAAGAGCAGACAAAAAUGACAGCACUUAGGAGCGCUAGUGCAGCUGCCUAUGGAAAAGUACACCAACCAAUUUACAUACAAAAUAACGCAUGAUCUGUAGCCAGCUAACGUUCCGAGGAAAAAUGAAGUUCAGAAGGACUUGAAAGCAUUAAGAUACCCAGUAAUCAGACAUUUUACGAGUACUGAAUGGAAGACAAACCUGAACAAAAGUUACAUGAGAAAGUUUUGAAAUCUAAUCUCGGAUGCAGUUGUUUUCAAAAGGACUCGUGACCCAUAGGUUGAGAAACAUUGGCCUAGAGGAAAGAGUUUCUUAGAAAUCCAGAUAUCUCUGCGUUCUGAAGACAGCAUCUACCAGAUAAGACAGCAGUGACGCUACCGCAUGCCACGAGGCAGAAGCCUUCUAAACGUCACCAGGGAGAAGUGACUGCUUGCCUCCUAAGGCACAACGGGACUCAUCACGGGAACUGCAGGAUCCCUGAGUCACAGAUUUUGAUGCUAAGCAAAGAGCCCGAUCACCUAGCAGGCUGGGCCAGACAGAAAUCAGCUGCAAAGAAACGCAAAGCUAAGAAGACUCUGAACAGGCACAGUGACACACGCCUAGACACUUUCUGCUGUGAAGACCAAAGGAUAUCCGAGAAGGUGUGAAACCCCGUGAGAACCUAAGCCUUGUGUGAGAGGCUAGCAUGGCUGGGAGCUUUGGCUUGGUAUCCUGUUAACACUACCCUUGAGAUAGAAUAAACAAGUUCCAAAACAUCAGUGAGGGCAGGAAAAGAAGGAGAAAAUGUUCUUCCAUCCAAUAGACCUGUCAGGAAGCAUCAGCAGAAGAAGGACGGUCAACAACAAA